AUGGAAUGGAGUGACAAGAAGGAGGUGACAAUGCUGUCAUCACUGCACAAUAAUACUUUGAUUGAAGUAGACAACAGAAAUGGAAGGAAAACUAAGGAGCCAUGUCUCAUUGUGUAUUAUAACGAGAAUCUGGGAGCACUGGACUCGGCUGAGCAGAUGCUCACUUCUUAUGCACCUGAACACAAAAGGCACAAGGUUUAGUAGAAGAAAUUAUUUCACCACCUUCUAAACAUUACAGUUCUGAACUCCUACAUCCUAUUCAAGAAGGACAAUCCUGAGCACAUGAUUAGCCAUGUAAACUUCAGACUGCCAUUGAUGGAAAGAGUGCUAGAAAAGCACCACAAGCCAGGGCAGCAAUGUCUUCCAGGGUGUCUGUGCUCUGAUGAUGCCACACCUCUUCACUUGCCUGGAAGACAUUUCCCCAAGAGCACACCACCAACAUCAGGGAAACAGAAUCCAACUGGUCAUUCCAAAGUUUGCUGCUUUCACAACAACAAGGAUCACAACAAGAUCCGGAGAGAAACGUGAUAUUUUUUGUCGGAAUGUUGUGAUGUUCCUGUUUGUGUUGUUCCUUGCUUUGAAAGUUUAACACACACAAAAGAAAUUUCAAUAC
rnacentral:lncRNA from 1 species